rnacentral:rRNA from 1 species
CGGCGGCGUGCCUAAUACAUGCAAGUCGAGCGAGCUGAAUUCAAGAUCCCUUCGGGGUGAUUUGUUGGACGCUAGCGGCGGGAUGGGUGAGUAACACGUGGGCAAUCUGCCCUAAAGACUGGGAUACCACUUGGAAACAGGUGCUAAUACCGGAUAACAACAUGAAUCGCAUGAUUCAAGUUGAAAGGCGGCGUAAGCUGUCACUUUAGGAUGAGCCCGCGGCGCAUUAGCUAGUUGGUGGGGUAAAGGCCUACCAAGGCAAUGAUGCGUAGCCGAGUUGAGAGACUGAUCGGCCACAUUGGGACUGAGACACGGCCCAAACUCCUACGGGAGGCAGCAGUAGGGAAUCUUCCACAAUGGACGCAAGUCUGAUGGAGCAACGCCGCGUGAGUGAAGAAGGUUUUCGGAUCGUAAAGCUCUGUUGUUGGUGAAGAAGGAUAGAGGCAGUAACUGGUCUUUAUUUGACGGUAAUCAACCAGAAAGUCACGGCUAACUACGUA